UCUAUUUUUAGUUCUUUGAGAAGUCUCCAUACUGCUUUCCAUAAAUGUUGUACUAAUUUACAUUCCCAUCAACACUGUAAAAGAGUUCCCUUUUCACCACGUCCUUGCCUACAAUUGUUAUUUUUGUCUUUUUAGGAAUAGCCAUCCUAACUAUGGUAAGAUGAUAUCGCAUUGUGGUUUUGAUAUGCAUUUCCCUGAGAAUUCAUGAUUUUGACCAUUUGUUCAUAUAGCUCUUGGUCAUUUGUAUGUCUCCUUUUGAGAAAUGUGUAUUCAUGUCCUCUGCCCACAUCUUGUUGGGA